GCUUGUUCUCAGGGCAGGGUGGAAAUCCCGACCGGCGGUAUCCCCUCUUGAUGGAGGGGGAGCCCGCGAGCGCCCGGGGGUGGUAACGCCCGCGGGGUCAGCAGACCCGGUGAAACGCCGGGGCCGACGGUUACAGUCCGGAUGAAAGAGGAUGAGC
rnacentral:ncRNA from 2 species